UUUUAUGGGGUGACUGCGUACCUUUUGUAUAAUGGGUCAGCGACUUAUAUUCUGUAGCAAGGUUAACCGUAUAGGGGAGCCGGAGGGAAACCGAGUCUUAACCGGGCGUUAAGUUGCAGGGUAUAGACCCGAAACCCGGUGAUCUAGCCAUGGGCAGGUUGAAGGUUGGGUAACACUAACUGGAGGACCGAACCGACUAAUGUUGAAAAAUUAGCGGAUGACCUGUGGCUGGGGGUGAAAGGCCAAUCAAACCGGGAGAUAGCUGGUUCUCCCCGAAAGCUAUUUAGGUAGCGCCUCGUGAAUUCAUCUCCGGGGGUAGAGCACUGUUUCGGCUAGGGGGCCAUCCCGGCUUACCAACCCGAUGCAAACUGCGAAUACCGGAGAAUGUUAUCACGGGAGACACACGGCGGGUGCUAACGUCCGUCGUGAAGAGGGAAACAACCCAGACCGCCAGCUAAGGUCCCAAAGUCAUGGUUAAGUGGGAAACGAUGUGGGAAGGCCCAGACAGCCAGGAUGUUGGCUUAGAAGCAGCCAUCAUUUAAAGAAAGCGUAAUAGCUCACUGGUCGAGUCGGCCUGCGCGGAAGAUGUAACGGGGCUAAACCAUGCACCGAAGCUGCGGCAGCGAACGUAUCACCCAAGACAACUUUACGGAGUUGACGAUUGACGGAGCGAAGCGACGUCAAAGCGUUCAUUAAAGUCGAGUUGGCUUAGGGAUACGUUCGUUGGGUAGGGGAGCGUUCUGUAAGCCUGUGAAGGUGUGUCGUGAGGCAUGCUGGAGGUAUCAGAAGUGCGAAUGCUGACAUAAGUAACGAUAAAGCGGGUGAAAAGCCCGCUCGCCGGAAGACCAAGGGUUCCUGUCCAACGUUAAUCGGGGCAGGGUGAGUCGACCCCUAAGGCGAGGCCGAAAGGCGUAGUCGAUGGGAAACGGGUUAAUAUUCCCGUACUUGGUGUUACUGCGAAGGGGGGACGGAGAAGGCUAUGUUGGCCGGGCGACGGUUGUCCCGGUUUAAGCGUGUAGGUGUGUGUUCCAGGUAAAUCCGGUUCACUUUAACACUGAGGCGUGACGACGAGGCACUACGGUGCUGAAGCAACAAAUGCCCUGCUUCCAGGAAAAGCCUCUAAGCAUCAGGUAACAUCAAAUCGUACCCCAAACCGACACAGGUGGUCAGGUAGAGAAUACCAAGGCGCUUGAGAGAACUCGGGUGAAGGAACUAGGCAAAAUGGUGCCGUAACUUCGGGAGAAGGCACGCUGACACGUAGGUGAAGUGAUUUACUCAUGGAGCUGAAGUCAGUCGAAGAUACCAGCUGGCUGCAACUGUUUAUUAAAAACACAGCACUGUGCAAACACGAAAGUGGACGUAUACGGUGUGACGCCUGCCCGGUGCCGGAAGGUUAAUUGAUGGGGUCAGCGCAAGCGAAGCUCCUGAUCGAAGCCCCGGUAAACGGCGGCCGUAACUAUAACGGUCCUAAGGUAGCGAAAUUCCUUGUCGGGUAAGUUCCGACCUGCACGAAUGGCGUAAUGAUGGCCAGGCUGUCUCCACCCGAGACUCAGUGAAAUUGAACUCGCUGUGAAGAUGCAGUGUACCCGCGGCAAGACGGAAAGACCCCGUGAACCUUUACUAUAGCUUGACACUGAACAUUGAGCCUUGAUGUGUAGGAUAGGUGGGAGGCUUUGAAGUGUGGACGCCAGUCUGCAUGGAGCCGACCUUGAAAUACCACCCUUUAAUGUUUGAUGUUCUAACGUGGACCCGUUACCCGGGUUGCGGACAGUGUCUGGUGGGUAGUUUGACUGGGGCGGUCUCCUCCUAAAGAGUAACGGAGGAGCACGAAGGUUGGCUAAUCCUGGUCGGACAUCAGGAGGUUAGUGCAAUGGCAUAAGCCAGCUUGACUGCGAGCGUGACGGCGCGAGCAGGUGCGAAAGCAGGUCAUAGUGAUCCGGUGGUUCUGAAUGGAAGGGCCAUCGCUCAACGGAUAAAAGGUACUCCGGGGAUAACAGGCUGAUACCGCCCAAGAGUUCAUAUCGACGGCGGUGUUUGGCACCUCGAUGUCGGCUCAUCACAUCCUGGGGCUGAAGUAGGUCCCAAGGGUAUGGCUGUUCGCCAUUUAAAGUGGUACGCGAGCUGGGUUUAGAACGUCGUGAGACAGUUCGGUCCCUAUCUGCCGUGGGCGCUGGAGAACUGAGGGGGGCUGCUCCUAGUACGAGAGGACCGGAGUGGACGCAUCACUGGUGUUCGGGUUGUCAUGCCAAUGGCACUGCCCGGUAGCUAAAUGCGGAAGAGAUAAGUGCUGAAAGCAUCUAAGCACGAAACUUGCCCCGA
rnacentral:rRNA from 1 species